CAGUCGCCGCGGGAACACGAAGGGGGCCAGCGUUGUUCGGAUUUACUGGGCGUAAAGGGCGCGUAGGCGGACUGAUAAGUCAGGGGUGAAAUCCCAAGGCUCAACCUUGGAACUGCCUUUGAUACUGUUUGUCUUGAGUUCGAGAGAGGUAAGUGGAACUGCGAGUGUAGAGGUGAAAUUCGUAGAUAUUCGCAAGAACACCAGUGGCGAAGGCGGCUUACUGGCUCGAAACUGACGCUGAGGCGCGAAAGCGUGGGGAGCAAACAGGAUUAGAUACCCCUGUAGUCCCUGUCUCUUAUAC
rnacentral:rRNA from 1 species